CCAGAUUUCAGAGAGUAGCAAAACCAGUUCAACGACAGCAGUAGUGACACACAGAGAAAACAAAGUGUAUCCUAGAACAGGAUGAGGCGAUGGGAUGCAGGCUUGGGAUAAUACGCGCUGCUAUCGUGUUGUAUCAAUUACAGCUGACCACCAGUCAGGUGGGUCUGCGGGACAUUUUAGAUCACGGAGGGGCAGCCAGCUCGCUCAGCGCCUCCAGCCUGCUCCCAGACUCCAGUCCCAGGUCCCGCUGAGGCCUUGUCCCAGGCAGGGCAGAGAGACACCUGGCCAAACCGCAGAAACACUUCCAGCUGCAGACUGCCUGAUGUUCACCACGGAGAGAAUCCAGGCCAAAGGUGGAAGAGCUCACCGAGAACUACUUCACUACCAUAGACAUUUCUCAGAAUUUCAUGUUGUUUAUUUUAAACACAGUACCGAGCAUUUGCUCAUCUGUUGAGGUUCAGUAAUGUAAGGCAUGUCUUUAUUAAUUUCCGGAGCAAACCUUUUUAUUGUCAAAAUGUUUACACUGUGUAACAAUAAAAGUCUCCUUCCUCCCCAAAAUUGAAAA